rnacentral:misc_RNA from 1 species
UGUAUGCUCCAUAGUUGGUGAGGAGGUCUCUAAACAAUGUAUCUUUAGAAAUCAACUCCCUUUCGGGGUUAAAACGGGGGAUGGUACAUUGACUCAUUCAUCAUGAAAUCCCCGAAACUAUAACAGCUACAAAUUUGAUAUUUGAUAGGUAGGUUCUUUAUAGAGCGUAAACAUCCGCUAAGAACAAAUUUUACGAAACUCGACCCC